UGUUUCUGUCUAGCUCGACAU
ensembl:piRNA 21ur-8996 ncRNA